AAAUAGCCCAGAUGGAAGUGGCAUCCUUUUAUUGUAGUCUCAGGUGUUACACUUAGCUUGUUGAAGUGUUCUCGAAGACUACAAUAAAAGAUAUAACGGACAGCUGGAAAAAGC
rnacentral:sRNA from 1 species